rnacentral:lncRNA from 1 species
GGUAAUUCAGAGCUUCAGAAAAGAAAAAAAUGCUAAAUUCUAAGCAAGGCAAUGUCCUUACGUAAACUAAUUAUCGUUAUUGACAAUUAAGAUAGCAAGACUGCCCCCUAAAUCCUCCCUGACAGCUUCCAUUACAUUUUAGUAUCACAAAAACUCUCUGCAGUCAUUGUGUUAGAACUGCUUGCAAUUGUGUCCUGACAAUUUGUUGGCUCAUAGGGGACUGGGAUUAAAAAAAAACAAUGAGCCGUUUCAAUUGCAUUUCAACAAAAAAUGGGACACUGCUGUUUGCAGCUUCCUCCAAGCUAAAUUUCAAGGGACAAAAUGAGGUUGAUAUUUGAACACGGGCUGAUGCUGACUUGUUUGUUCUGCUAGGCCCGGCCAUUGGCGUCUAUGCUAGAUGAAGGGUGCUUCCAGACCAAGUUCGUUUCUAGAACUUUUGAGGAAACUAGCUUUGGAGUCAGACAGACCUCUUCAGUAUGAUCUUGGAUCUGCCCAUGCUGAGUCCAUACAUACAGAAUGCCUUUUUCACCAUCUUGCUUGAUUGGUUCUCUGCUAAACUCGGUUCCUAGAUGCUGGCAAUGCCAGGAUGGAUGAAUUACUUUCCUUGGCCCGGAGAGCCUCACCGUCUAGAAAGAGAUACAGACGUGCAAAUAAUUGCAAGAGAUUCCUCCAGGCAGCUGAGUGCACCUUCUGCAUACCUUUGAUAUCUAAUAUUCAAGUCAUAUCCCAGCCCUUGCUCCCCACAAGCAGACAGAACCAAGAAUUCUUCAACCUCUUCUGUCCUGAGACCCUGCCUGGGGCUCUCCUGAUUCUCUCAGCCACCAAGCUCACCUCCCAGUCUGUACUUUGGGCUUUUCCUCUCUCUGCAGGUAUGAAGUGGUCUACUCUGUUGCCGCAUCUUGUCUUGGGCUCUAUUAGGGGCUGAACCAUGUCCCCCACAAUCAAUCCUGAGUACCUCUGAAUGUAACCAUAUUUGGAGAUAAGAUCUUUAACGAGGUGAUUAAGUCAAAAUGAGGCCUUUAGGGUGGGGACCUAAUCCAAUAUGACUGGUGUCCUUACAAAAGAAGAGCCACCCGGGAUGCAUGCCUGCAUCACACACAGAAAAGGCCAUGUGGGGACGCAGGGAGAAGGCGGCCGGCUGCAAGCCAAGGAGAGAGGUCUCGGGAGAAACCAACACUGCCAAAAUCUUGAUCUUGGACUUCUAGCCUCCAGAACUGUGAGAAGGGUUUCUGGCUGAUAAAGGUAUAUAGGAGGUUCUGAAAUGUUAUUGAGUGAAUGAAUAAAUUAGCACUAGAAAAAAAGCAUGGACUUUGGAAGAGGACCAGAAUUUAAAACCAGACUAGAAGUGUAGAGUUGGGGGAACUCAACCCAUUUCCCACCACUUCCAUCGACCUCCUGUGGCAUCCUAAUGUUCAGAAGGAGAAGAACAUUCUAGAAGGAGAACAAAAUUCUAUCAGCAAGAAGUAUAAUACUCUUGUGCCAAAGGUGUGCACAAUCAGCCAAGUGACCUGAGAAAUGCAAGUCCUGGCUCUAUUGAGGUCAUCAAGGAGAAAGCAAGCCGCUGGCAAGUCAGGAAUCUGUCUCAAAGUAAACAUGUGGCUUGUGACCUUGAGGAUGUGCGUAUGUUUAUUGUUGGGGCAGUUGCUUUUUCCUUAUCUCUCACCAGCUCUCAAAAGACCUGUUUAAGUUUUCUGUAAGAGGAUAUAUCUCAUGUGCAGUUGCAAAUAUGCUUCUUUAUUCUUCUCUGGCUAAUAAUUAUCAAAGUUACAGUCAUGAAUAUUCACCUUCUCAGGCUGCUCUGUCAGAGAUUUUUCUGGGUGGGCAUGGUGGUUCACACCUGUAAUUCCAGCACUUUGGGAGGCGGAGG